rnacentral:rRNA from 1 species
GAUGAACGCUGGCGGCGUGCUUAACACAUGCAAGUCGAACGUGAGAGGUAGCAAUAUCUUGAAAGUGGCGAACGGGUGAGUAACACGUAGGUGACCUGCCUCGGAGCGGGGGAUAACAGUUAGAAAUGACUGCUAAUACCGCAUGAAUCCACUGGGAUGGGAAGAAUGGUGGAGAAAACUCUGGUGCUUCGAGAGGGGCCUGCGGUCGAUUAGCUAGUUGGUGGGGUAAAGGCCUACCAAGGCGACGAUCGAUAGCUGGUCUGAGAGGACGAUCAGCCACACGGGAACUGAGACACGGUCCCGACUCCUACGGGGGCAGCAGUGAGGAAUAUUGGGCAAUGGGCGGAAGCCUGACCCAGCAACGCCGCGUGGAGGAAUG